CCAACCUCAGACAAGAACAAGUCGCGAGCGUGUAAGUGACCCGCGGCUGCCUGAUACAUUAAAGUCGCCAUGAUACGCUAAGACAUCACCAGAAUUAUUUUAAGUGUAAGUUAGACAGACAGAAAAACAGUUGAACGCCACUGAGUGAUUCUCCACCUGAGGCCCAGGAUAGCCCGCCGCCAGCAGCCACAGCCCAGCGUCCACGCUCGCCAGGAUGCCCACGGAAACAAUAUCCCCCGACAUGAGGGAGGAAGCGGACUUGGAGGAGGAGGAGGAGGAGAGAGCAGCGGACGCCUCAGGGACGGAGUCUGAGGGGGAGAGCAGCCGAGACGCGACCAGCGGGAGGAAAGAGCCGCGCGACACAUCCAUCCAGAGAGAGCUCGCGGACGCCAUAGUUCGCUUGGCGCCCAUCGAGGAGCUCCGCUUCCUACUGCAGUGUGGCGCCAACGUGAAGGACCCCGUGACGCAGGGCCUGUCGCCCCUCCACUACGCCGUGUGGCAGCGCUACCCCGAGGCGGCGGAGUUCCUCAUCGGCGAAGGGUGUGACAUAAACGCUCGGGAUGAGAUCGGCUACACGGCCUUGCAUCUCUCCGCGGAACAUGGCUACACGGAGAUGAUGAAGACGCUCAUCAAGCACGGGGCGCAGGUCAACUUCAACAUCCCUCCUGAGUUCGAGGAUGACUUCCCUACCGAUGCCUUCGACGAACCUUUGCGUCUCGCCAUCAAGCACGAUCAUCACGAUGCUGCCAAAUUGCUUCUGGAGAACGGAGCAAACCCCAACACUCGGUAUUUCUUUGGUUCAGAGAUCAACCUCGUCAACCCCCUCAACACGACCCUCCUCAACCUCCUCCUGUCGUACGGCGCCAACGCUAACGCCAGGGACCGCCAGGGCUUCACGCCGCUCAUGAAGUGCUGUCGCCUUCAGCAGGGCCUUGAGGCAGUGCUGCUCCUCAUCUCCUUUGGGGCCAACGUCAAUGCUACUUUUGAGGCUAAAUCAUGACUACAGGACAGUCCUACACUACGCUGUGCUCUCAGGUUCUGUGCCCAUCGUCAACUUGCUCCUGAAGCAGGGCGCACGCGUCGUCUUUGAGUCAACGUACAACAAGCCCACACCACUGGAUUUGGCCAUCCUCAAAGGUGACGUGGAGAUGGUGCGCCUCAUGCUGGACCACAAUGCCAAUCUGGAUGCUAGUUCCCCCAUCAUUGGCUCUCCACUGCACAUGGCUUGUAGUGAGGGGAUUCCCAACCGCCUGGAGAUUCUCAAACUUCUGUUAGAGCGAGGUGCCAACCCAAACCUUGUGAUUGUGGGUGAGGAUAACUCUCCAAUCAAGCCAGCCCUUGGGGAGUACCUGGCCUCCAAUGAAAACCCAGAAGUGGAAGUGGUGAACCUUUUCCUGAAGCAUGGUGCUGAGGUGGUCAUGCAGAGCCAGAGCAGAGACCCUCGUGGCCUCCUCAACUGCUUGCCCAACCUCACGAAGAGACCCGACGUCCUCAUCCCCCUCCUGGAGGCAGCUCAGCGCUUCGACCUGACCAUCAUAAAGCACUCCUCUCUGAUAGACAAUGACCAGAGAAAAUUAUAUCUAAAGGUGGGCCAGUCUCCGCUCCCCUUGAAGCACCUCACCCGGGUGUUCUUGCGCCAGGAGCUUGGCGACAAGCUUCCCUGCAGGAUUGACGAGCUGGACCUUCCUAUGAUCAUGAAGAAAUACCUGCUGUAUGAAAUUAGCUAACUGGCCAGCCCUUGCUAGGUUAAGGUAGGCUUAAGCAGCUCAGCAUGUACAGAUCCAGCUUUUGAUACUCAUGUGUAUAUAAUUUGUGUAUAUAAACAUAGUUUUUCUCAACACAGCCAUGAGGCUUCCUGGGUUGAGAGAUUUAUCAUGAACUUUAUAAUACAUAUUUUUCUUAAAAAUAUAUAUAAGGUACGGAGAAGCUCAGCAUAGACACACCUUGCAUGUGUCUGCUGGAGAACUCUUCCGGGUAAACUAGUUGCUUUGCAUCUCAUUAUUGUGAUAUUUUUAUUCAAAACCUCAGUGGUGGUAGUGUUGUAGUGCCCUUGAGCUACAUGUCUCUCUUUGCACAUCCACAUCCAUAAUAUGUACCAAAAAGAUUUCCCUCAAUAAGUGAAAUAAUAUUAAUAGAAAUAUCUUCAGGUCAUAGAAUAUGAAAUAGAACAAAUACUAAUGAGUGAGACACUCGAUGCUGAAAAAACAUUUUUGAAAGUAUUUUUCUUUAUCAUGUGAUAUUAUGAGGCCACUUAUCAGUAUUUUUUUUACUUUUAACUAACAAAAGAAAGACUUUGAUACAAUGAUGUUCAUAUGCAUAAAGAAAUAAUUAUAGUGCAAGAUAAAAACAAAAUAUCUCCAGGAACCUUUAGUUCUCUGAGCAGCAAAUGUUUCUCUUGAUUUUUACAAAAAUAAAUUUGAUGAAAAGGCUGCCCUUUAUGCAGCAAACACUGAAUGGUCUUUCUUAGUAAGGUCAUUAUGCAUAUUAUAACACCGGACUGCAUUACUUGCAGCCUUUCCGUAUAAGCACUGUGCUGGUAAAGGCCAGUACUCUAUUGGUACAUGGAAAUGGUGGUAGUUUUCUUUGGUAGUAAUGUUCAGUGUUCACUAAGUAUAUAUAUAUUUUAUGUUCACUUUUUAUUUGAUACAUUUUAUUCACCAUUUGCCCUCGUAUGACAUUUUGCAUACACUUUGUUUGCAGGUAUUACUCUGCAUUUUAUUCAUCAUUAUCAUUACCAUCUUCUUUACCCAUUUCUAGUCAAGUGCAGGACAAAGCUAGGCCUUACCCUUCCUCUACCUCUUUCUGUCUGAUGCAAUCCAGCGUGCUCUGGAAAAGGCUUUGAUUUCAUCUCUGCUUAAUCCUCUGUUUGCCUCGACUUCUACAAUACCUGGGUUGCUACUCUGUUGUUUGGGUUGUCCAUCACUUAUCAGUUUUAUGUAUGAUAUAACCUUCUCAAGUCCUUAUCUUAUUCCUAAUCGUCAUUGAAAUAUCUUCAACCUUUGUCUGUUCCCUAAUCAGAAAUUCUUGCUCACUGUCUCUCCAUGUUAUGCUCACCUUUUAUCUUUCCAUUCCUCUUUGUGGAAUUUUUUACUUUCUCUCUAAAACUUUUGUGAUACACCAAGUUUCUGAACUGUUUGUUAGGGCUGGCAUAAUACAAUAAUUGUGCACUUUUGUCUUCAGUGAGUGCCAAGCUGCUAUUCAUGAUAUUACUGUUUCCUAAAAUUAAUCCAUCUCAUCCUAUUUCAUCUCUGAUUUUUUUUUCUUUUCCUGAGCUGGGUUUACACUAAUUGUUUUGUUUUUGGUCAUUAUUAGCUGUCCUGCUGACUGAUUGUUAAACAUAGCUUCAUUUUCUUUAUAUUCAUCUUCAAACCUACUUUCAGACUCUUUCUAUGGAGUUGAUUAAGUAAGAAUGUCAUCUUUGAAUUUAAGGUUGUUUAGAUAAUCACCGUCUAUCUUGAUUCCUUUAUAUUAUCCUGCUCUAAUUUCAUGGAUAUGUUAACUAGACCUGAAUCAUUACUCCAUGAAUAAAGAAAUCAGAGUCAUACAUUAGACGCACAUGAGCUCUUUUGCUCUGUUUGUGAUUUCUGUGGAGCCGAGGUGAAUUUUUUUAGAUUUGUUGUUUUUUGUGCAUUUUUAGUGGCCACAUUUGUAUGCCACCAAACCCUUUUGUGGAAUUAAGAUUUUGUGAGGUAAACUUGAACCAUGCAUUAUUUGUUUAAAAGGAGAAGCUAUAUAGUGAUGCUGUUAGACUGAUCUUUAUUUUAGCAAGCUCUACAGCAGACAGGCUUUUCUAUACACCUGUACAGACUGUCCAAGGAGAAUACAGGCACACUGACCAGACAUGCAUGCUUCUGGGUUUAGUUAAAAAAAUCUUGUACAGUUGCAUAAAAUCAUCUUUACAUAUCAUCAUUAGCUAUAUGUAUAUAGUUGUGGAUUUUGUAACAACAUUUAUGCAGUAUUUUUGUAAUACAUAUGUACUUUAUUAAUUUUUCUACUGUUUUAUAUUUAUCUAUGUAGAUUAAUUAGUCUUGUUUUAAGAUUUUAAGAUACUUAACUUUUAGCCAAAGUGCAUUGAGAGAUUUCACAAGGAAAAUUUUAAAUUUGUGGUCAAAAAUUUUAACUGUUUUUGCAGUAAAAUAAGUUUACUUCCCAGGAAGAGAAGAAGUUUUGGCUUUGUACAAAAUGAAAAGGUUAACAAUAAUGGAAUACUUUAUGGAUACAAGAAAACUUGUUUCAUGGGGAAAAGUUUUCAUAGAGAAAGGCAGUAUAUCAGUAUGCAUAAUUUGCUUGAUGCGCACUCCCAUUGUUAGCAAAGUUCAAUAAACAAAUGGCAAGGAUGUCCCUUGUGCUGAUUUCCUUGAGUAUGUUAAGGUUUACCAUAAUUUACAGAUUUUAUUUGACACUUUGCAUUUUCCAAUUUCAUAUAUAAUAUCAAACCUAUUACUGUAGCCUAUUGCUACAAAAACAGUCUAUGGAUACAGACUACAAAGCUAAGUGUACUACCUAAGCAGUGCAUGUGCCAGCUACUCUGGCAUAGACAUUGAAAUUUGGAAUAUAUUUGAACAAAUAUUGGACAGGAAAAAACAUCCAUGAGGUGAAAUAUUAAUUGGAUGGCAGUGAAUGGAGACUGGGCGACUCAAGGCUGACAUCAGACCCAGUAUGAUGCACCCUGCUAAACCCAGUCAAGUGAAUGGACCAGCACUGAAUGGAUAUGAAGAUCGUGAAAUAUAAAAGUCAAGGUUACUAUUCCAAGCAUCACAGUGGUCAAUGGACUGCUGCUAAUAUGCCUGUUCAGUGUUUCCUAGACUCAAAAUCUGUAGUACAUGGCAAGAGGAUGAUAGAAUAAAGCAGGUCCUCUGUAUAUUGCUUAGCAUAUGAAUGAUUUAAAAUUAGCCUGUAUAGUAAAAUUAAAUGGAAUCAUGUUGCAACCUUGACAAUAUUGCUGCUCCUUGCUGCAUGACUCAAGGAGACAAUGCCUGGUAUUCCACUGUGGAGCUGAGACUGUCCCAGGUUUGCUUUGUAUGAGCUGAGGAGGAGCAUGUAUAGGAUAUUUAGAACAUAGAAUGAUGAGACAUGAAAGUCUCUGACAUUUAGGUGUGUAAACAAAUUAAAGAAAUAAAUUACUAUACCCAA